GCUAAUACCGGAUAACAACAGAUGAUGCCUAUCAACUGUUUAAAAGAAUGGUUCUGCUAUCACUCUUGGAUGGACCUGCGGUGCAUUAGCUAGUUGGUAGGGUAACGGCCUACCAAGGCGAUGAUGCAUAGCCGAGUUGAGAGACUGAUCGGCCACAUUGGGACUGAGACACGGCCCAAACUCCUACGGGAGGCAGCAGUA
rnacentral:rRNA from 1 species